GGAACAGGGCAAUGCAGAGGAACAGGACAAUGGCCAUGGAUGAGGAGAAGCCCGCCCAGGCCUCCUCUGCCUCCUCCGCCCCCCGCGGAUGGACCUCAGGCUUCCACAGGAUGGGCAAAGAACCCCCAGGAUCCUGGGCUUCCCAUCGGCCAGACCCACCCAGCUGGAUGGACACUGGGACCAGGAUUAACAUCCCAGCAUGAGGGUAGGGAUCCAUGCUGGGACAAGGAUUAACCAUCCUAUCCUGUGGAUAGAUGCUGGGACAAGGAUUAACCAUCCUAUCAUGUGGAUCGACGCUGGGACCAGGAUUAACAUCCAUCAGCUGGAUCAACACCUCCUUCUGGACAGGACGACAGCAAUGGGCAGGAACAGGGCAAUGGAGAGGAACAGGACCAUGGCCAUGGAUGAGGAGAAGCCCGCCCAGGCCUCCUCUGCCUCCUCCGCCCCCCGCGGAUGGACCUCAGGCUUCCACAGGAUGGGCAAAGAACCCCCAGGAUCCUGGGCUUCCCAUCGGCCAGACCCACCCAGCUGGAUGGACACUGGGACCAGGAUUAACAUCCCAGCAUGAGGGUAGGGAUCCAUGCUGGGACAAGGAUUAACCAUCCUAUCCUGUGGAUAGAUGCUGGGACAAGGAUUGACCAUCCCAUCAUGUGGAUCGACGCUGGGACCAGGAUUAACAUCCAUCAGCUGGAUCAACACCUCCUUCUGCACAGGACGACGCCAACAGACAGGAACAGGACCAUGGCCAUGGAUGAGGAGAAGCCCGCCCAGGCCUCCUCUGCCUCCUCCGCCCCCCGCGGAUGGACCUCAGGCUUCCACAGGAUGGGGAAAGAGCCCCCAGGAUCCUGGGCUUCCCAUCGGCCAGACCCACCCAGCUGGAUGGAUACUGGGACCAGGAUUAACAUCCCAGCAUGAGGAGAGCGAUCGACGCUGGGACAAGGAUCAACCAUCUCAUCAUAGGGAUCCACGCUGGGACCAGGAUUAACAUCCCAUCAGCUGGAUCAACACUGCCUCCUGUUUGAACCCAUUACUCCUGUCACUGCAGUUCCUGAUGAAAAGUCCCUUCCUAAGUUCCUUGUGGGCCCCUUCAGAUACUGGAAGGUGCUGUGAGGUCUGCACACAACCUUCUCUUCUCCAGACUGAACAGCUCCAACAUUCUCAGCCUGUCUCCAAAAGGGAGGUGCUCCAACGCCCUCAUCAAGUUCAUGACCUUCUCUGGACUUGCUCCAACAGUUCCAUGUCCUUCUAUGUUGAGGACCCCAGGGCUGGAGGCAGCUCUGCAGUGGGGUCUCACCUGAGCAGGGCAGAGGGGCAGAAUCCCCCCCUCACCUGCUGCCCACCCUGCUUUGGAUGCAGCCCAGGAACACAGUUGGUUUCUGGGCUGCCAGAGCACAUGGCCAGCUCAUGUUGAGUUUUCAUCACCCAUCACCCCCAAUUCCUGGUCUCAGUCACUUCUUUGCCCAACCUGGAGGUGUGCCUGGGAUUCCCCCAACCCAGGUGUAGGACCUUGCUUUGUUAUAGUUCAUAUAACUACAGUUUAUAUAACUAUAGCUUAAUAGUUUCUAUCCCUCACUGUUAAAAUGCACGAACUCUUGACCAAGUAAUAUACAAUCUAUUUUUGCCACCAGAUCUUUGCCAAUAUAUUUGACAGUUCAAUGUCCUGUUAUACCAUGGUUUUGAUGUAAUGUCACAACAAACUCAAUUCUGUUCCUCACUGCUUAGAGCUUCCUGAGAAAACAGGUAUAUUUAGACCACCAAAAUUUGCUUUCAAGCCUGAUAAUCCACUGUUCUCCCUUAAGGCUACACAAAUUGCACACGGACUUUUUUGUGUGUUACUUGGAUUUUCAGAAGGCUGUGUGCAGGCACACAUAAUAUUUUCAUGGAGGUAUUUGCAUAGAGGAACAGCCACAAAAAAACCCAGCUGGGAGUGAAUGAAAUUUCCAACCUGCCACAGAUCCAGCCCUCAGGAAAACUGCCUACAAUAUGUAUAAAGGAAUUAGGAUGAGACUGGAGCCCUGUGAAGAUGAUUGAAAAUAGAAAUAAUGUGGAAAAGCUACAACUGAGGAAGGCUGGAUCAUGCUGGAUCCUUCAGGAAGAUUUAAAGAGGACAAGGAGGGAGCUGGGGAACCACGAGCAGGCAUUUUUCAAAGAACAAAUUUUGACUGGGGUUCAAAGACACACAAAGCACCAGCUGGGCUUUUCCAGGACAGGGGUGGUGGGAUAUGUUCCUGAAAAAUAAAAUCAAUAAACUGGGGUUUUUUGAGAGAUA